UCUGUGACACCAGGGUUUUACCUAGUAUUAUCCACAGGCAACCUGCCUGAGAAUCGCCUGGAGUACCUUUUUGAAAUGGAGACUUUAGGAGCUACCCUGGAUGUACUGAAUCACAUUCUCUCCAUUGCAUCUACUUACCACUUUCCCCAGUUUGGGGGGGCAGCAGUUUCAGACUUGAUUAUGUACUGAAAUCAUCUAAGGAGCUUGAAAACAUCAUGACGUCUGGGUCUAUCUCUAGAGAUUCUGUAUCAACUAGUCUGUACUGUGGCCUGGGUACCAGGGACUUUGAGAGCUCCCUAGGUGAUUGUAAAGCAAGAUUAAGAACCACUAUGCUAGGGCUUCAUAGGAGAAAUGCCAAGACGGACUCGGAACAUCUCUUUUCCUGAAAAUGACUGUGGGUGAAGUCACAGAGGGCAAAAUUCAGAGAAAGAAGUCAGAGCCUGUGUUGUAAGGGUGAAGUCAGAGGAAAAACCACAGAUGCAAAGGGCUGAGAGUCGACUCUUCUUUUCUUGUAUCUUCUUGGUCAGUGUUACACUGAUAAUACUAAUCAGUGCCUGAUAAACCAGUGGCUUGUUUACCUUUUAAAGGUAGAACCUUGUUGGUUAACCAGAUAGAUUAAAUUCUGAUGCUUCCUUUGAAAGGGAGAAUAAUAGUAAUAUAACUUUAAAGGAAAUCUAUUUAGUGAUAUGACCUUGGGUUCCAAGAACAUAUGAAGAACGAAGAACAAAGCAUAUGUUUCUUUUAAAUUUCUAGAUGAACUUGAACUCCUGGCUUUAUCCAUAGCCAUUUGCUUACAUAAAAUGAAUUUUGUCUCCAAAAUUAUUUUCCAGAAUAAAGGAAGUUGCCUUUCGGAUACA